AGUGAACGCUGGCGGUAGGCCUAACACAUGCAAGUCGAACGGCAGCACAGGAGAGCUUGCUCUCUGGGUGGCGAGUGGCGGACGGGUGAGGAAUACAUCGGAAUCUACCUUUUCGUGGGGGAUAACGUAGGGAAACUUACGCUAAUACCGCAUACGACCUACGGGUGAAAGUGGGGGACCGCAAGGCCUCACGCGAUUAGAUGAGCCGAUGUCCGAUUAGCUAGUUGGCGGGGUAAUGGCCCACCAAGGCGACGAUCGGUAGCUGGUCUGAGAGGAUGAUCAGCCACACUGGAACUGAGACACGGUCCAGACUCCUACGGGAGGCAGCAGUGGGGAAUAUUGGACAAUGGGCGCAAGCCUGAUCCAGCCAUACCGCGUGGGUGAAGAAGGCCUUCGGGUUGUAAAGCCCUUUUGUUGGGAAAGAAAUCCUAUCGGUUAAUAACCGGUGGGGAUGACGGUACCCAAAGAAUAAGCACCGGCUAACUUCGUGCCAGCAGCCGCGGUAAUACGAAGGGUGCAAGCGUUACUCGGAAUUACUGGGCGUAAAGCGUGCGUAGGUGGUGGUUUAAGUCUGCUGUGAAAGCCCUGGGCUCAACCUGGGAAUUGCAGUGGAUACUGGAUUACUAGAGUGUGGUAGAGGGAUGCGGAAUUUCUGGUGUAGCAGUGAAAUGCGUAGAGAUCAGAAGGAACAUCCGUGGCGAAAGCGGCAUCCUGGGCCAACACUGACACUGAGGCACGAAAGCGUGGGGGAGCAAACAGG
rnacentral:rRNA from 1 species